UCUUAUGGAUGAGCAAAGAAAGUGCCUUUUUGAGAUGGAAUCUGCUCCUGGUUAAGAUGCUAUGAA
rnacentral:pre_miRNA from 1 species